CCCGCCCUGGCUGCGGUCCCGCCUCCUCCCGCAUCGGCUUCGGUGCCUCCGGCUGCCUCCAUGGUGUUUGCACCCCAGGCAGCCUCCUCGAUGGGAUUGUCUUCGCCGCCGCCGUUUCACUUCGGUCAUCUCAUCACCAUCAAGCUCUCCGCCGACAACUACAUCUUUUGGCGUGCGCAGGUUCUCCCGCUCUUGGGGAGUCACUACCUGCUAGGCUACGUCGACGGAUCGCUUCCCUGCCCACCCGCGCUGGUAGACAGCGUGCACGGUCCGGUCUACAAUCCGGCCCAUCGCGUCUGGACGGGGCAGGACCAGGCGAACCUCUCCUCCAUCCAGGGGUCGCUCUCGCCGGCAGUUGCCGGCCUUGUUGUCUUCGCGAAGACGUCUCAUGAGGCCUGGACCAUCCUUGAGCGCACCUUUGCAGCGCAGUCCCAGGCUCGUGUCUCUGCACUCCGUCGUCAGCUUGGAGAGUGUCAGAAGCUUGACUCCACUGCCACUGAGUUCUACAACAAGGUCAAGGGCCUCGCCGACACAUUGGCCUCCAUUGGACAGCCCCUCACCGAUUCCGAGUUCAACUCGUUUAUUGUCAAUGGUCUUGAUGAGGAGUAUGAUGCCUUAGUCGAGAUCAUCAACGAG
rnacentral:rRNA from 1 species